GGUGUUAAAGCUCAGUGGUAGAGUGCGUGCUUUUAGCAUGCACGAGGUCCUGGGUUCAGUUCCCAGUACCGCCA
rnacentral:tRNA from 1 species